rnacentral:rRNA from 1 species
GUGCUUAACACAUGCAAGUCGAACGGAAAGGUCUCUUCGGAGAUACUCGAGUGGCGAACGGGUGAGUAACACGUGGGCAAUCUGCCCUGCACUUCGGGAUAAGCCUGGGAAACUGGGUCUAAUACCGGAUAGGACCACUUGGCGCAUGCCUUGUGGUGGAAAGCUUUUGCGGUGUGGGAUGGGCCCGCGGCCUAUCAGCUAGUUGGUGGGGUGAUGGCCUACCAAGGCGACGACGGGUAGCCGGCCUGAGAGGGUGUCCGGCCACACUGGGACUGAGAUACGGCCCAGACUCCUACGGGAGGCAGCAGUGGGGAAUAUUGCACAAUGGGCGCAAGCCUGAUGCAGCGACGCCGCGUGGGGGAUGACGGCCUUCGGGUUGUAAACCUCUUUCAGCAGGGACGAAGCGCAAGUGACGGUACCUGCAGAAGAAGCACCGGCCAACUACGUGCCAGCAGCCGCGGUAAUACGUAGGGUGCGAGCGUUGUCCGGAAUUACUGGGCGUAAAGAGCUCGUA